rnacentral:rRNA from 1 species
GACGAACGCUGGCGGCGUGCUUAACACAUGCAAGUCGAACGGUGACGCGCCUUCCUUUUUGGUUGGUGUGGGUGAGUUGCGAACUGGUUAGUAACACGUUAGUAACCUGCCCCCUUCUUCUGGAUAACCGCAUGAAAGUGUGGCUAAUACGGGAUAUUCUGGGUCUGUCGCAUCAUGGGUCUGUGAAAGAUAUUGUUUCGGUGGGGGAUGGUCUCGCGUCGUAUCAGCUUGUUGGUGGGGUGAUGGCCUACCAAGGCGGUGGCGGGUAGCAGGCCUGAUAGGAUGGUCAACGGCAAUAGAGCGAAGGAGAGAUGGAGAAGACUACUAGGGGCGGCAGUAGGGGGGAAUAGAGAACAAGGGGAGGAAGGCUGAAGCAACGACGCGGGGGGAGAGAAGGAGGUCGUGGGGUUGUGAACUUCUUUUGCGAGUGAAGCAGGGCUGGCUAGUAUGUGGGUGGGUUGACGGUAGCUGGAGAAGAAGCGCCGGCUAACUACGUG